rnacentral:rRNA from 1 species
UGCAAGUGGAGCGACGAACCGGGGCUUGCCCCGGGGCAGAGCCGCGAACGGGUGAGUAACACGUGGGUAACCCACCUCGAUGACCGGGACAACCCGAGGAAACUCGGGCUAAUACCGGAUGUGAUCCUCUUCCGUAAGGAAGUUUGAUGAAAGAUAGCUUUGGCUUUCGCAUCGAGACGGGCCCGCGGCCCAUUAGCUUGUUGGUGGGGUAACGGCCUACCAAGGCUUCGAUGGGUAGCUGGUCUGAGAGGACGAUCAGCCACACUGGGACUGAGACACGGCCCAGACUCCUACGGGAGGCAGCAGUGGGGAAUCUUGCGCAAUGCGCGAAAGCGUGACGCAGCAACGCCGCGUGGGGGAAGACGGCCUUCGGGUUGUAAACCCCUUUCAGUUGGGACGAAGCUUCAACGGUGAAUAGCCGGCUGGAGUGACGGUACCUUCAGAAGAAGCCCCGGCUAACUACGUGCCAGCAGCCGCGGUAAUACGUAGGGGGCAAGCGUUGUCCGGAAUCAUUGGGCGUAAAGAGCGUGUAGGCGGUUCCGUAAGUCUGCUGUGAAAGUCCAAGGCUCAACCUUGGGAUGCCGGUGGAUACUGCGGAGCUAGAGUACGGAAGAGGCGAGUGGAAUUCCCGGUGUAGCGGUGAAGUGCGCAGAUAUCGGGAGGAACACCAAUUGCGAAGGCAGCUCGCUGGGACGUCACUGACGCUGAGACGCGAAAGCGUGGGGAGCAAACAGGAUUAGAUACCCUGGUAGUCCACGCCGUAAACGAUGGGCACUAGAUGUGGGGGGUGUCGACUCCCUCCGUGUCGAAGCUAACGCAUUAAGUGCCCCGCCUGGGGAGUACGGCCGCAAGGCUAAAACUCAAAGGAAUUGAC